rnacentral:rRNA from 1 species
GACGAACGCUGGCGGCGUGCUUAACACAUGCAAGUCGAACGGAAAGGCCCUGCUUUUGUGGGGUGCUCGAGUGGCGAACGGGUGAGUAACACGUGAGUAACCUGCCCUUGACUUUGGGAUAACUUCAGGAAACUGGGGCUAAUACCGGAUAGGAGCUCCUGCUGCAUGGUGGGGGUUGGAAAGUUUCGGCGGUUGGGGAUGGACUCGCGGCUUAUCAGCUUGUUGGUGGGGUAGUGGCUUACCAAGGCUUUGACGGGUAGCCGGCCUGAGAGGUUGACCGGCCACAUUGGGACUGAGAUACGGCCCAGUCUCCUACGGGAGGCAGCAGUGGGGAAUAUUGCACAAUGGGCGGAAGCCUGAUGCAGCAACGCCGCGUGCGGGAUGACGGCCUUCUGGUUGUAAACCGCUUUCGCCUGUGACGAAGCGUGAGUGACGGUAAUGGGUAAAGAAGCACCGGCUAACUACGUG